UACGUAGGUGGCGAGCGUUGUUCGGAAUUACUGGGCGUAAAGCGCGCGUAGGCGGCUUUUGUAAGUUAGAGGUGAAAGCCCGGAGCUCAACUCCAGAACUGCCUUUAAAACUGCAUCGCUUGAAUCCAGGAGAGGUGAGUGGAAUUCCGAGUGUAGAGGUGAAAUUCGUAGAUAUUCGGAAGAACACCAGUGGCGAAGGCGGCUCACUGGUCCGGUACUGACGCUGAGGUGCGAAAGCGUGGGGAGCAAACAGG
rnacentral:rRNA from 1 species